UGGGGAAUAUUGCGCAAUGGGGGAAACCCUGACGCAGCGACGCCGCGUGAGCGAAGAAGGCCUUAGGGUUGUAAAGCUCUGUUUUAGGGGACGAAUGUUCACUCCAGUAAUAUGGGGGUGAAAUGACGGUACCCUAAGAGGAAGCCCCGGCUAACUACGUGCCAGCAGCCGCGGUAAGACGUAGGGGGCGAGCGUUGUCCGGAAUUACUGGGCGUAAAGAGCACGUAGGCGGGAACUUAAGUCAGGUGUGAAAGACCGUGGCUCAACCACGGGGUUGCAUUUGAAACUGGGUUUCUUGAGGGCAGGAGAGGAAAGCAGAAUUCCUGGUGUAGCGGUGAAAUGCGUAGAAAUCAGGAGGAAUACCAGUGGCGAAGGCGGCUUUCUGGACUGACCCUGACGCUGAGGUGCGAAAGCGUGGGUAGCAAACAG
rnacentral:rRNA from 1 species